rnacentral:rRNA from 1 species
AUUGAACGCUGGCGGCAGGCUUAACACAUGCAAGUCGAGCGAGCGGCGGACGGGUGAGUAACGUCUGGGAAACUGCCUGAUGGAUGGGGUUAACUACGGGAAACGGUAGCUAAUACCGCAUACCAGCAGAUUUGCCCAGAUUGGACUAGCUAGUAGGUAGGGGAAUGGCUCACCAAGGCCACGAUCCCUAGCUGGUCUGAGAGGAUGACCGGCCACACGGGAACUGAGACACGGUCCAGACUCCUACGGGAGGCAGCAGUAGGGAAUAUUGCGCAAUGGGCGAAAGCCUGAUGCAGCAACGCCGCGUGUGUGAAGAAGGCCUUCGGGUUGUAAAGCACUUUCAGCGAGGAAGCGUUACUCGAAGAAGAAGCCACGGCUAACUCCGUGCCAGCAGCCGCGGUAAUAC